GAACCGCCUAUGAAAGACACACUUGGCCACAUCUCGCGAUUCCUUAGCAUCAUACUCUCUGUUGACACCCAUAUUUGAGAUUCACUAGCACUGGCUGGAUUAUGACUGUUGCUACUGUUGGUAUCCCAAAUCUGACUGAGUGAUUUGAUCACCUUGGUUUCGUUGUGAUUGUUUCCUCGAGCCUCUUCUGUUUCAGCUUGCUCUUUAGUAGCCGCCCAGCUUUCUGAGUUGACAAGAAGAACUUUUGCUCCUUCGUUGCCAACUCUUUGAAGCUCGUGACGGAAAGCCUGUCGUUUCUCUGGAGCUGCCUGCCAAAUUACAUAGCUCAUUACAUCACCAAGUAAGCGAAAUACAAUGUUCUUAUAGCAUGCAAAGAAAUUAAGAAAAACAAUUUAAUCUUCCACAUUAAAGGGUGCGUAAAUAAACCCAGAAGGGGCAAACCAAACCAAAAUCAGUAACCCUAAUUCCUAAACUCAUCAACAAAAUUUGUUUACAGUUUUUAAAUUUUGAUCUCGUUAUUUUGAAUCCCAAAUACCGAAACCAAAAUCAUUUUUAACCAAACCAAAUAAACUGAAAUUCAUUAAAAUAAUAUAUUAUAUAUUAUGUGUGUAUAUACAGUUAUGUAUAAAAUAUAUAUACAUACUAGAUAAUUAUAAAUUAUAAUACUGAUUAAACCCUUUUCCGUAUAAAAAUUGAACCAAAAACAAAAGCAAACGAAAAUUCCAACAAACCAAGUUAAAAACAAAAUCGAAAUUACAUAUUUUUUAGGAAAAAAUUGGAUAAAUACACUUCUAUGAGAUUUUAGUUUGAAAACUACACCACUACUUAAGGUUUUUGAAAAAUACACUUUGUUAUAUGUAAAUUUACUAAAUUAUCCAAUCUGAAUAUUUAAUAUUAUUAACAAAAAUUUAAUCAGCAUAAUUUAUUUAAUAUUUAAAUUAAAUAUUUUUAACAAAAAUUGUUUCUUUUAAAAUCUUAAUAAUAUCUACACAAUAUCUUUUAAAUAUAUCUUAAAUUUUUGUUUUUUAAGAAGAAGAAAAAAGAAUAAGCUGCGUCUCCUGCAUCUUCUUCUUUUUAAUCUUUUAGUUUUCCUUUCUGCAAAACAUUUUCCUUUUCUCUAGUUUACGUAGUCUCAGGCUUGUUAAUUCUUCACCCAUGUCCUUGAUUGUAAUUCGAUUUUGUAAACUUUCGUUUUCUUUUAUUCAUUUAAAGUUUUCUUGAUAGAACAUACUUGUCACAAGAAAAAAUAUAUUUUCUGGGAAUGACGUGACUUUUCUUUUGUAGAAGAGUAAGAAGACUGAUGUUGUAGGGAAAGUUUUUUUUAUAUAAGGUUUAGAAGGUUAAAGCACAGUAUAAUUUAUAUUUUAAAUUUUGAAAUGGUAAAAUAACACAUUUAUUUCAACAUAGAUUAAUUUAGGGGAAUUUUCAUGUUUACCACCACUAUUUUUAACGAUAAUAAUUUUAUUAAUUUCAAAUUUUUAUUUUAUUUAUUCAAAUAUUUAAUAUGGAUACUAAUGUCUUUUUCACAUUUCAUAAAUUGUAGUUUUCAAAAACUAAAAAUGAAAGUGUAAUUUUCAAAUUUUAAACUAUUAAUAGAGUAUUUUUCAAGUUGUCAUUUUUUUAUAUUCGUUUAGACUUCUAGAGAAAAAUUGUAACAAGACCCCAAAAAGAGUUAAAAAUAAUUAGUUGGGUUUUUCAUUAAAGAAAUAUGCAUUAACUCCUAAGCCUUAUUUUUAAAACACUGAUUCAACUUGUAAGCUUUAAAAGCUCUUAUUUGGGUUUCAUGAAAUGGUAAUGAAAGGAACCUGUAUCUCUGAAAGAAUGCAGCCAUGCAUUGCCAUGACCGUGAAAGCACAAUGCCUUACUGCACCACUAAGUUUCACAUAGUUUAUCCAGGGAUGGUUAAGCGUUCUGUAUGGUCCAUGUGGAGGCUCCCACCUGGCAAACUCAAGCUGCCACACAAACAUUAAAAUAAAGAGAUCUUAAUGUUAAUAUCAUCCAAAUUCGUUUUAGCUAGUUGUCUUAGUUUCAAACAUACCAGAGAAUCUUCUUCACUUGUAGACUGAACAGCUGAUCUGUACCCGCUGUAUAAUGGAUCAUCUGAAGCUUGGUAUAUAAGAAUCUUCGAAGGUAUUCUCUCGUAUUCCACACAUUGCAAGUAACCAUUCACACAUCCUAAAUGUGUACGAAAAAACACCUGAAAAUUAGUUAAAGCACAUGAAAAUGAAAUGCCAAGUUAUGUUUGUUACCUUCUAGUGAAUUUGCUACACUUUUGAAAUUUGUAGCCACCAGUUUAUGGAGAUCUUCCCCGGCCCAUAUUGGAGAUAUAAAUAUAUUCACAACCAAACAGAUGGUUGCACCAAGCACAAUAAACAAAGACCUGUAAUACGCGGUACUAAAGAACUCUCCCGUGUUGUUUCCAGAAACAAGGACGAUACAGUAUGUUAACAAGAACACCCUGAACGCAUACUCAUAUGCCUUCAUGGCUGGGUGGAGUUUCAAAUAACUAGCACUGAAACCUGAUAGAUCAAGGUCAUAUAGAAAGUGUUGUUAUCUACAUAAAAACCUGACGUAUCAGUCAAUGAAAUUCGGUAACCUGCAAGUAAAAUGAAUAUGAUGAUUAUAAAUUGCUCGAAAUCUCCUGAUAGAACAGAGAGCCUGGCGAUGCCAAGAGCAAGUCCCCCAGCAGAGAAUGUGCCUAAAGCUCUGUUGAACCCUUUGACCAACGUUGCACCUACGAAUUAAACAUGCAAGAAUCUAAGUGGACGAAAAGUAGGGGUGGACAAAAAAACCGAACCGAACCGAACCAAACCGACCGAACCGAAACCGAUUCAAACCAAACCAAAGUCUAUUUCAAACAAUUCGGUUGAAGAUUUUUCCAACACAAAAACCGAUGUGUUUUUGUAAUUAUUUAAAUUAAAAAUAUUAGUAAUACCAAUAUACUAAAAUUCUAAUACCAAACCACAUAUUUUCCAUUAUUCAUUCAUUAAAAUAUAUUCUUCUAACUGAAAUCAUUAAAAUAUUUGAUUUACAAAAAUAGAAAAGUUUGUAUUUUUAUAUUCUUAUAUAUGUAAACGUGGAUGUUAAAACUAAACCUAAAACCUAAAACCUAAAGCAAAAUUUAUUAAACAAAAAAAUUCUUCUCCACAGGGUCACAUGUAAGAUGAUUCAUUACAGGUUUUUUAAUAAUGAUAUAAGAGACAUUACUAAUGAUGUCUUUUUUUUUAUUUUAAUAAGCUUUCAUUUUUUAACUCUUAUAUAUUUUUCUGACUUUUUAAAGGUUUUUAUUUCAAAAAUAUUGAAUUUAGUUCGCAUAGUUUAUGUUUACAUAGUUUCUCUUAAAAAAAAUUAAACUAAGAAAAACCUAAUUAAACUGAUCCAAAAAACAAACCGAAGCGAACACAAACCAAAGCGAACACAAACCAAACAGAACUAAACCAAACUAACUAUGGUUUAUUUCAGUUAGAAAAAUACUAGAACCAAACUAACCAAACCGAACCGAACCCUAACCGACCCAGAAAAUAACCGAAGUGCCCACCCCUAAUGAAAAGAGUCGCACAAAUAAGUUUUUUUUGGGUAAAAUAUUAAAUUAUACUAAGUUUUUAAUUUGUAGACAAAAUUUACAAGGACAAUUUGUAGUGGAAAAUAAACGCCAAAACCUAAAGGCAAUGAAAGAACCCUGUAGUAUGAUAAAUAUUUUCUUAUAUUAAACUUUUUUUGAAUUUUCAUAACUCAUUGUAAAAAAUAUUUAAAGUAAAAAUACUGAUUUUAUAUUUGAAAUCAAAAUAUUGAUUAUAUAUUUGAUUUCCGUUGGUUUGUACUUAGAUUUUAUUUCAUAGUUAUUUUGAUUAUUAAAAACUUAAUAACUAAACUUUAUUAAGUUCGAAAACUUGCAGAAGAUAACAAACAACACAUUUAUUUCUAAUUUUAUUGUAUGAUCGAAUUAAGUUAAAUUCAGUUGAAUCUGAUUAAACACGUACGGUCUAACCAUAUUGACCAUAACCCAACAUAAUUUUGGUUUAGUUACCUAUCCGAUUUUAAAAAUAUUGGUUUAGUUCAAAUGUCUAUGUGAUAAUAAAUGCCUGAACAUGGCCAACACCGCUGAAUUUGUAGAUCGAAUAGUUAAAAUAGAGAGAGAGAAUCCAAAUACAGGGGCUUAGUAAGUUCCUAUUUAGUAAUAGAAGAGAAUGUAUAGUGAACCAGCGCCAUAAUCUUACUAGGAUUGGUGCACAGGGGAAAUUGCCAUGAAAUGAAUUUCCUAGAACACUCAAAACCUCGUAAAGAUCCAACCAAACAACAAACAUCCUCCCCAAAAUCGAAUAGUAAAAACAAAGAUCGAAUAAAAUACCUACGGAAUAUUCGAAAACCACAACAACAGUAAGGAUGGCCCAGACAUAGAAUUUACUGGCAGCGUGCAGAGGCUCUUUAAGGAAAAUAAGGAAGGAGCAAAUGGCAAGAGCCAUUCCCAUCUUGACGGCAAAGAAGAGCUUCCGACGAUCAGAAUGCCACAAGUUACAGAUCCCGCAGAAGCGUCGUCUUGAGUCAUUAAAUCCGAAACCUGAGUAUCUUUUCCGAGAGAGAAGCCCCUCUCUGCUUUGCUCUGGACCUGACCCCAUAUUGCCUGCUAUUUUCUCCAUAUUAAAGAGAACCUUAUUGUCCUAUAAAUACAAAGAGGGAUUAACUUGUAUGUACGUUGCAUUUACGUUCCUCCCAUUAAUGCAUGCCUUCUAAAUUCAAGUUAUUGUAUUUACCAUUUUUGUUCCCUUUCGUAUAAUAAAGAAUCGAAGAAAACGGAGUUUGUGGACCUGUGAG